GAGAACCAAAACUAAAAGUGUAUAAUGUGCACUCUAAAUGGCAAGGAGCAAAUGCAAUUGGAACACUAGUUAUAGUACGCAUGAUGUGCUAUUUAUGUUGAUGAUAGAGCGUUGGCUUCAUUUGCCAAUCAAAGUACAAUCUUAUUCUUUAAGUGAAUCUCUUUGUAUAUAAAUUAUGUCCAAUUGAAAAUAUACGCAUAACUUUUUUUUCUCUUCUUAUUGUUUUUGGAAAUUUCCUAUUAUUAUCUAUUCUCAUUGUUCGUUGUCUUGCUAAACUAGUAGGUAGUGAUC
rnacentral:lncRNA from 1 species